GCCCUCAUAGCUCAGUCGGUAGAGCAGCGCUUUCGUAAGGCGUUGGUCCGGGGUUCAAAUCCUCGUCGGGGCACCA
rnacentral:tRNA from 1 species